CACGUAAGGUGCGAGCGUUGUUCGGAAUCAUUGGGCGUAAAGGGCAUGCAGGCGGCACUGCAAGCCCGGCGUGAAAUACCGGGGCUUAACUCCGGGGCUGCGCUGGGAACUGCGGAGCUAGAGUUGCUGAGGGGCAGGCAGAAUUCCGCGUGCAGGGGUGAAAUCUGUAGAUAUGCGGAAGAAUACCAAUGGCGAAGGCAGGCUGCCAGCAGACAACUGACGCUGAGGUGCGAAGGUGCGGGGAGCAAAC
rnacentral:rRNA from 1 species